rnacentral:rRNA from 1 species
AUUGAACGCUGGCGGCAGGCUUAACACAUGCAAGUCGAGCGGAGAUGAGGUGCUUGCACCUUAUCUUAGCGGCGGACGGGUGAGUAAUGCCUAGGAAUCUGCCUAUUAGUGGGGGACAACAUUCCGAAAGGAAUGCUAAUACCGCAUACGCCCUACGGGGGAAAGCAGGGGAUCUUCGGACCUUCCGCUAAUAGAUGGGCCUAAGUCGGAUUAGCGAGUUGGUGGGGUAAAGGCCUACCAAGGCCACGAUCUGUAGCGGGUCUGAGAGGAUGAUCCGCGACACUGGGACUGAGACACGGCCCAGACUCCUACGGGAGGCAGUAGUGGGGAAUAUUAGACAAUGGGCGGAAGCCUGAUCCAGCCAUGCCGCGUGUGUGAAGAAGGCCUUUUGGUUGUAAAGCACUUUAAGCGAGGAGGAGGCUACCUGGAUUAAUACUCUAGGAUAGUGGACGUUACUCGCAGAAUAAGCACCGGCUAACUCUGUGCCAGCCGCCGCAGUAAUAC